GGGGGUGUAGCUCAGCCCGGAAGAGCGCUACGUUCGCAUCGUAGAAGUCGCCGGUUCAAAUCCGGUCACCUCCACCA
rnacentral:tRNA from 1 species